UACUGCGCUGUUACGGUGGCAGAUGGCGGCUGUCAGAUGGGAAGAAACCACGUGGCCCUGAGGGGGCUGGAACCCAAGCGUCUGGCACAAGCGGGAUUGAAGGCAGUAGGCAUUGAGAUGAAAAACUGAGGGUUGGAGAUGGGAGGCAAUUCGCCCAAGGUGGCAUCGCUGUAAAACAGUGGAGCUUGAAAUUUGAACCCAGCCAGUCUGAUCCCAGAGCUCAAGCUUUCACCUGCUGUGGUAACAGGACAAGCAUAUUGGCAUAUGGCAGGACAGCAGGACAAGAAAUGAGAUGUUUCUAUUCCUGGUUGUGCACAAUUGUAAUGACGUAUUCUCUACAUCCAGCGUGGGACUGGGAUUAAUAACCCUGAGAUCAAGAGUCACGUACUCCUGUGACCAAGCCAGCCAGGCACCCCUCAAUUUAACCAUUUUAUUAUUUUAU